GACGAACGCUGGCGGCGUGCUUAACACAUGCAAGUCGAACGGAAAGGCCCUGCUUUUGUGGGUUUCUCGAGUGGCGAACGGGUGAGUAACACGUGAGUAACCUGCCCUUGACUUUGGGAUAACUUCAGGAAACUGGGGCUAAUACCGGAUAGGAGCUCCUGCUGCAUGGUGGUGGUUGGAAAGUUUCGGCGGUUGGGGAUGGACUCGCGGCUUAUCAGCUUGUUUGUGUGGUAGUGGCUUACCAAGGCUUUGACGGGUAGCCGGCCUGAGAGGGUGACCGGCCACAUUGGGACUGAGAUACGGCCCAGACGCCUACGGGAGGCAGCAGUGGGGAAUAUUGCACAAUGGGCGGAAGCCUGAUGCAGCAACGCCGCGUGCGGGAUGACGGCCUUCGGGGUGUAAACCGAUUUCGCCUGUGACGAAGCGUGAGUGACGGUAAUGGGUAAAGAAGCACCGGCUAACUACGUG
rnacentral:rRNA from 1 species